rnacentral:rRNA from 1 species
AUUGAACGCUAGCGGGAUGCUUUACACAUGCAAGUCGAACGGCAGCGCGGACUUCGGUCUGGCGGCGAGUAGCGAACGGGUGAGUAAUGUAUCGGAACGUGCCCAGUAGCGGGGGAUAACUACGCGAAAGCGUAGCUAAUACCGCAUACGCCCUACGGGGGAAAGCAGGGGAUCGUAAGACCUUGCACUAUUGGAGCGGCCGAUAUCGGAUUAGCUAGUUGGUGAGGUAACGGCUCACCAAGGCGACGAUCCGUAGCUGGUUUGAGAGGACGACCAGCCACACUGGGACUGAGACACGGCCCAGACUCCUACGGGAGGCAGCAGUGGGGAAUUUUGGACAAUGGGGGCAACCCUGAUCCAGCCAUCCCGCGUGUGCGAUGAAGGCCUUCGGGUUGUAAAGCACUUUUGGCAGGAAAGAAACGUCGCGGGCUAAUACCCCGUGGAACUGACGGUACCUGCAGAAUAAGCACCGGCUAACUACGUG